UGAAAGGCGAAACGUAAUGUGAAUCGCAACUAACAGUGAAUCAUUGAAUUUUUGAACGCAGGCCGCAGCUCACGACAUAACGCAAGUUUUGUUGUAAGCUAUCUAUGUAUGAGUGUCAGCCAUAAUUCAUUUUUAGUCUCAAAUCCGCCGAUGAGCGUUUGAACUGUUUUGGCCACCAGAACCAUAAAUUCUGGCCUCAUAUAUGGAAGGUUACCCGCUGGAUUUAA
rnacentral:misc_RNA from 1 species